rnacentral:rRNA from 8 species
ACACCGCCCGUCGCUACUACCGAUUGAAUGAUUUAGUGAGGUCUUCGGACCGACACGCGGUGGCUUCACGGCCGUCGGCGUUGCUGGGAAGUUGACCAAACUUGAUCAUUUAGAGGAAGUAAAAGUCGUAACAAGGUUUCCGUAGGGGAACCUGCGGAAGGAUCAUUAACGU